CCAGUUUACUGUGGAGAUUGAGGAAUAAAAACAGAAGAUCUGCGCUAUUCAGACAACUUUAAAAUUAACAGAGAACUGCAUCUGUAUUUAUCACUUCUUACUUUAGUUCUUAUUUACCUUUAUAUGUAAUAACAUUAGGGGAGAGCGGGGUACAAGCUAAGGCUUUUUGAUUGGGCUCUAUCAUUCAAAAAUAUUUGAGUUAGAUUAAUCUUUUUUACACACACAUCUCUGCUACAAAUGAACACUUAGGAUCGGUUUCCCAGAAAGGGUUCAAGUCUUGCAGUCCCCGCAUAUUUGAGUGGUCUUAAUUUAAAGAGCACCUAUUAUGGGAUACACGUUUUUAAACAUCAUUUUGUGUGUAAGUGUGUAUUAGUACAUGCUAACGAUAUUCAAAAAGUACAUACCUCAAAGAAAACGAUGACGCGAGUUAUCGUCUCUAACGUUCGAGGACUACAAAAAACACUCGGAUUGUAGGCAACAGUUUACUUCCUGGGAUUAGUGACGUAGAUAAGACCAACAUUAUCAUAGUUCAGCCCUCUCUGCUUUGCUUGGGUACGCCCUCAAAGACGAGGGUGGGGAGCGCCGAGUCAGAAGAGAGCUAAAAUGGCGGAGGUUGGGAGUCCCUGCUUUGACUCUGUUUGCAAACUCUUGCUUCAUCGUUUAAGCGAUUAAAUCUCUCGAGUAGACGCUGUCUCUUUAGAUGCGAGGGCAAAAUAGCACUUUAUGGACUUCCACAGAGGACAUCAUGUUUAAUACGGUUCCGGAAAAAUCCAGUCAGAAGUUGUUCACGGAGUUUUCACAAUAACUGCUUCUCAUGAACCGAAGCUGGACGUCUCCUUCUGAAAGUUGGAUUACUGUGCACUUCUGGAUCACAGGCUAUUCGCAGCUGUACACAUCCUUCUACACUGUAUGCAAACAUGCAACAUCAUAACACACAGUACAAGGAGUCAGACUGGCAUAUGAGGAGCAAAGGAACCCAGACAGUAGCAUCGUUUCACAAUGUUUCCAUCACCAUCAUCAGUGGAUGCCUUUGCCGUCCGUAGCCUGAGAUUUCAGAUUUGCAGCAAAAAAAAAUGAUUUUCUCAUUUAUUGGAAUGCUGUGCAGGUAUUUGUACCUUGCAGCCAUCCAUUACAAUGUCACCAAGCCGUAACAAAAGCAGGAGAGGGAAAGUACAAGGCUAUGUUCCCAAAACACACAAGUGACAUACCUUAUGUGGAUGAUGUGAUCAGGCUUGUGUUUGAUGAGGUAUUUGAAGAUAAGCUGAAGGAAACCCCGAUUCCAAUGGACCUGGCAUCACAGUUUGAGAGACCUUCA